AUGCAAUUUUCCAAUACGUCUAGAUUUCUACUAGAAUAUCUGACCCGUUUUUGAGGCAUAUUGCCUGGAAAACGACUGAAAAUUGCUAUAAAAGCUUAGCUCGAGAUGCGUGUGCCGGUUUGCUCUCAAUGCGUUCUGGUUCCUUUUCUCCUCGGGACAUUU
rnacentral:snoRNA from 1 species